GUGGGCGGAAGCUCAUUGUAGAGGUCACAUGCAGAGUGCUCGUCACUCCACCAAUCACCUCGGGGAAGGUCUGAGACAGGAGCCAAUGGUUGCCCUUGCAGGGCAUCACCUGAUUCGGGUGAGCGAGUGAACAGAAAAGAAGGGCCGCAGCGUGCCGUUACCACAGGAGAAGCCAGAGGGAGUAGUUUGACUCCACUGGUGGAUGUGAGGCUCGCAGGCUUGGAAUCGCUCGCGGCUGGCGAAUGAGUGCGAUGUAUGAGGUGGAGCACCGCUCCAGAACCCAAUUCAGACUACUCUCCUCCCAC
ensembl:ribozyme RNaseP_nuc Nuclear RNase P